rnacentral:rRNA from 1 species
AUUGAACGCUGGCGGCAGGCCUAACACAUGCAAGUCGAGCGGAUGAAGGGAGCUUGCUCCUGGAUUCAGCGGCGGACGGGUGAGUAAUGCCUAUGAAUCUGCCUGGUAGUGGGGGAUAACGUCCGGAAACGGGCGCUAAUACCGCAUACGUCCUGAGGGAGAAAGUGGGGGAUCUUCUGACCUCACGCUCUCAGAUGAGCCUAGGUCGGAUUAGCUAGUUGGUGGGGUAAAGGCCUACCAAGGCGACGAUCCGUAACUGGUCUGAGAGGAUGAUCAGUCACACUGGAACUGAGACACGGUCCAGACUCCUACGGGAGGCAGCAGUGGGGAAUAUUGGACAAUGGGCGAAAGCCUGAUCCAGCCAUGCCGCGUGUGUGAAGAAGGUCUUCGGAUUGUAAAGCACUUUAAGUUGGGAGGAAGGGCAGUAAGUUAAUACCUUGCUGUUUUGACGUUACCAACAGAAUAAGCACCGGCUAACUUCGUG